GCCGACUUCCAUGGCCACCGUCCUGCUGUCUUUAGUUACUAACGCCUUUUGUGGGGUCCGAUAUGCGUUGCUUUUGGCACUAUAACUUUACGACCGGUUCAUCCCGCAUCGCCAGUUCUGCUUACCAAAAAUGGCCCACUGAAGGCCUUCACUAUCUAUCCACUUGCUACGUAGCACGCUAGCUAGUGGAAAACACACACAUUAACAGUUUGAGAAUAGGUUGAGAACGUUUCGAACCCAACGACUCUAAUCAUUCGCUUUACCGCAUGUGACUAUCUCUACUAGACCUCAGCUAUCCUUAGGGAAACUUCGAAAGGAACCAGCUACUAGAUGGUUCGAUUGGUCUUUCGCCCCUAUACAUAGUUCUGAUGAUCGAUUUGCACGUCAGAACCAUUGCGGACCUCCACCAGAGUUUCCCCUGGCUUCAUCCUUUCCAUGCAUAGUUCACCAUCUUUCGGGUUCCAGAGCACGAGCUACGAGUACGGCAGCGCCAUUGCUGACGCAUGAUUGCCAUCUCCGAUUUGCCUAGACGCCGCGCGCAAGGCGCGUACGUCUCAUCAUACGCGACCGCAAGCGGUCGUUGAAUUGCUUUCGUUAAGUCUGACGGAUUCUGUAAGAAGAACCUUUGCGUCACGCUCGUUCGCUGGACUCCUUGGUCC
rnacentral:rRNA from 1 species